UUUCUUUAGAUGUGUUCUGAAAGCGGAUUAUUGGGCAAUCGAGUUGAGAUAGGGUAACAUCAAUUUAAGACAAGCGGAGGCCAGAAUAUGUUCCCCACUGACCUACUUAUCUCCAACAUCAUGCAAACAUGGGAUCCAGAAUCAUCAGAUUUGAAUGCCUCUAAAAGCUUUUAAGUAUGAGAUGCAAGGACUGAGAGAACCACAAUAUGGGACA